UGUUUAAUACGUACACAAACCACUUUCUAGAAAGAACAAGUUGUGAUUUAAGAGGGAGUAGAAUUCUGCAGUUAUUUCUAGACCAAAAGCAUUUUUAUCUCUUUUAUUAGCUAGUAUUUCAGUGCAGUGUGUCUCUAUGAGCUAUGCCCUGGCAACCUCACGUGACACACUCAGAAAAUGUGUCUGUUGUUAAGAAAUACAGCAUGUAACUACUGCCAAAAACACAUUAAUUUUUUAAUUUCUGUUUGUGUACAGAUAAAAUAAACAAGAUACAAUGUGUUAAUUAGUGAGCUAUAGGUAAAGAGUAUUCUUUAAUUCUGGACAGAACCAGGCCAGCUGGUUUCUCCAAGUGUCAGUCCUCUGUGCUCAUGCAUUAUUCCCGCGAUAAUUUCUUGUAGUCACAUCAAAAUAAGGCAAAAUUAGCAACUUUUACUGUGUUAUAAAUUUGAAGUGGUUUGUUACCAAGCGAAACCAGGUACAAGUACAGCUUUAAUAGUUCCACAAUUUGGAAAAUACAACUUUCUUGCAGAGAGUUAGCAGAGCCAGGCUAGGUGUUUCCCCAUUUUGAGAUAAUCACCUGCUCAUGGUAUCUUCAUAUUCAUCAUAGAGACAUGCAAGCAAAUAAGUGUACUUCCCAAAAUGUCAAAUUAUUCCUUUAAAUUGAAUUUGUGUUAAUAUUGGAUUUUAUUUAGCGGUGACUUUCAGUAAUGGUGGUUUAUUUUUUAUAGCCAUUUUGUCACCAGUUAGUAGUUCUUUUCACCAAAUGAGAGUUACAGCUGUCAAAAAUUCCCACGAUCUUCAACGUAGAAUUAGGAGGCUGAUGUGAACGGUGGCUGCAAAUGAUGACCUGAGCGAGCGAUAUGACGUGAAAGUGGCCUAAGCUAAGUUAAUCAUCUCCUGGCUCCAGCUCCAUACUUAAAUCACAGACAUGAGAGUGAUUUUCCCAUCUAAUUCUUAAAAAAGAAAGCAAAUAAGUGUAUUUUCCAAAAUUUUAUACACUGGUUACUAAUGAAUUGUUCUGUUCUGAGACUGAAAAGUACUCCCUUUUGUCAUCAACAGUGUGAUAUAUAAUGUGGGUAUGAAUUUUACCAGAAAGUAGUAUUACUAAAGACUCAUGCAGGCCAAGGAAUAACCCCUCUUACUCAUAAUCAUCUGAAACCCAUCAGUAUGUAGCACAUGAUUGUUUACAGCUGCUCUAUGUCUCUGUGUGACCUUGUCCUGUUUCUGUGAAAGAAUGAAACACCUCUGUUUCUUGUCUCCUUUAGGAUGACAUCUUGGGACAUUGAUGCACUGUGUAAUCAGCCUUCAGUGUGUUUGCAUUUAAUGUGAUGCAUAAGAGUUCUGAUGGUAUGUCCAGUCUUGCAUAUUUUGCCUACACAUGGCUUUAAGAAAUAACAUGUGCUGGCUUAAAUCUGAGGAGGAAGACAAUGAGAAGAUCCAGGCCAGCUGAUGUUGGAGUAUUAGGGAGUUAGUGUAAUUUGCUCAGACACUCUUGUCUUUUUUUAUACUAUUUCUGAACUUUUUUCUUCCACUACAUAUUGAGCAAACUUACAUCUGACUGAAUUCCCUCUUCUUCUUUUGUACCUUUCUUUGCCUUUUCAAUUCAUCCAUCAGGAGCAUAGUGGGAAAUCCAAAAUGGCGCAAGAACGAGUGUGUCAUUUUCAAACUGCCCGCUAACUCUGAACAUCUGGUCCUAGAGGGAGGAGGGUGACCCUGUCAAUGGGAGCCCUUGUCUCCCCUGUCAACAGCAUGAGAACAGCCCACCACAAGCCUUAGUCCGCCACUGCAAGACACACAAUACCAGAAUGAUGGAACCUUUCCCCAGCACUGACACAGCACUACAACAAAAUAUAGACACAGACAGCUGCUGACUGGAACACAGAGGAGCUUUCAUUCUUAAAAAAAGAGAAGACCCAUUUAGGGUUUGCAGUUUGACUUUUAUUCACUGCUUUCAUCACCUUAAAAAAGUGAAGAACAACUCUUAUCACAUUAGCAUCACAAUGUUCUGUCAGCUGAACAUAUCCAGGAGGCAAUGGGUUUUGGCAGCAGUCCUGUGGGCGUUCAUCAGCUGAAUCAUUUUCAGACAUCAAGUCAGUCAAACGAUUUGACAUAUGAGAAUGUAGAGGAAAAUAAAGCCCCCCAGCACUGUGCUAAGAAACCACAAGGCUUUUACUCAUCAUUAUGCCAGUAAAGAUACCAGAUUUUCCCAAACGUUGAACAAUUUCUGACUCUCACAUCCUCCUCCUCUUCUUCUCGGGUGUCUUCCACUCCUUUAUUCUGUAUCUGUUGGUGUCAAACAGUCCUUGAAUUUCCUCUUGCUGCCCCUUCAGAUGUGAGCUUUGGUGUGGGUGGUUGAGACACGUCUCUUUCUCUUUGUGUGUGCUGUAAAUAUUUUCUUCAAUCACAGAGUCCAACCUCUGUCUAAUCUCUAAGACACACAUCAAAGCACAGGAUGAAGCAGAUGGGUUAAGAGUGAGUGCACGUCUCUUCCAUUAAGGAUUGUGUUUGUAGUAAGAAGGACUUUAUUACUUAAUUUCUACAAUUCAUAGAUACAAAUAAACAAACAAGGAUUACAUUAUAUUGCAUAACAUUUGUGUAAAUGUACACAAUACAGGACUGUGACUUUUGAAAGAUGAAAUAACACAGUUUGUUGCUCGUAGAAAUUAAAAAAGCUAAAUUCAUAAGCUACAAAACACAUUUUUCCUAAAUUUAAUAGAAGGGUUAUACCACAACACCAUUGCUUUGGCUAGGUCAUUAGGUCACCUAAUGGCGAUGUCUUUAAAGCAACUGAAGGGAAAUACAACGUGCCAUUAUCCUGUAAUUACCACUUGGGACCACAGUGGCCUCUGUUCAGCAAAAGUUAACAAAGCCUACACGUGAUUUUUCAUGUUUCAGCCCAUUUACGUCAAGCUACAUAAAUGUACUGGAUUAAACUAAAUUGCAGAUCUCUGCUGCAGUCAAAUUUCGUGUAUGUGUAUUUGCCCAGUAAAAUAUUGUAUUUCAGGUUUUUUUUUUAAAGGAAACUGUAGUUUAUUUUGAUUCAGUCCAACAUACCCCAUCCUAAUGCUGUAUGAUAACACUGUUUACUAAAAUACAAUGCUGAGAUGUAAUUACUAGACCUUUUUGGAUAAAUUCAACUAUAGAGUAUGUACCUGUUAAAAUGUUCAGAUUUACACAUUUAAAAGAGACAUACUAAUAUGUUGAUGUUUUUUGUCUUUUCAUGGGGUUUGUUGACAAUAAGAAAUAUAAUAAAAACAAAUACUGGCAGCUUUAUUUUUAUUUUCCAAUACAUGUGGUUACAUUACCAUUCAAUAACAUAAUAUUGUUAACAAAAAUAUAUACACUCUUGAAUGAAUGAUAAAUUUCAUUUGCUGACUGAUUGGCAUCUACUUUUUUGUAUGAUACAGACGUUAAUUUGAAAAACAAUCAGCAGUAAUUGGAAGUAUACAUGAAUUGUUGGUAAGAAGAUAAAACAUGGUAUAUUCCUUUAAUUCAAAGCCUUCCAAGUGUUUCAGUCUUUGAUUUUUUUAAUCCGUUGUUUUGUACUUUUAUUUUCACCUGUUCACCCAAACUAGUACGUUUAGGCCAUGUGCACUGAAAACCACGCCACACAUUCUUUGACUUUGUUGCACGAGAGAAAAAAAGAAUUGAAACUGAGAACACCAACAACAGUCAUAAGAGAUCUUUUUUUUAACCUACUGUUUCUGUUUCUCUCUGAGCCACCAUUCUUCCCACACAAAGCCAAAUAGAGCCGGAGGUAGUCAUUAUAGGCUUCCCAGGGUAAUGCUUGACUGACUGCUCAAGUCUAUUCUCGCUCAGUCAGGGUGAAGUGGGUGCACAGUGGUUCUUAGAGUAGACUCUGGGUGACAAACAUUCAUAUAGGGUGUAAUUCUUGUGGUUGUGUUUUCAAGCCCAAUGAGGCAUGGGUGGAGUGCCACUUACUAAAACAAAACCAGGAUUUCCCAAGUGGUGCCAGGCACCCAUGGAGAAGAAACAAGUCUGGUCCAA